rnacentral:rRNA from 1 species
AAUGAACGCUGGCGGCGUGCCUAACACAUGCAAGUCGUACGAGAAAUCCCGAGCUUGCUUGGGAGAGUAAAGUGGCGCACGGGUGAGUAACGCGUGGGUAACCCACCUUCGAAUCUGGGAUAACUCCGCGAAAGCGGUGCUAAUACCGGAUAAGACCACAGCCGUUUCGGCGGCAGAGGUAAAAGCUGACCUCUCCAUGGAAGUUAGCGUUCGAAGACGGGCCCGCGUCCUAUCAGCUUGUUGGUGGGGUAAAGGCCUACCAAGGCAGCGACGGGUAGCUGGUCUGAGAGGAUGAUCAGCCACACUGGAACUGGAACACGGUCCAGACUCCUACGGGAGGCAGCAGUGAGGAAUUUUGCGCAAUGGGGGAAACCCUGACGCAGCAACGCCGCGUGGGUGAAGAAGGCUUUCGGGUCGUAAAGCCCUGUCAGGUGGGAAGAAACUCUUCAGUACUAAUAAUGCUGAAGCCUGACGGUACCACCAGAGGAAGCACCGGCCAACUCCGUG